rnacentral:lncRNA from 1 species
GAAUGUGGCAUCUAGAAUCAGAGUGACUGGGUCUAAAUUCCAGUCCUACCUACCACUGUGACCAUAAUGUCCCUGUGCCUCAGUUUUCUCAUCUGCAAAAUGGAACAACCGUUGAAGCCUGUCUUGUUGGGUUGUGAGGAUUCAAUGAGUUCAUGAAUGAAGUAGGACAAGUAAAAUGCUUAGGACUGUGCCUGGUACAUAGAAAGUGCUCAAUAUUGGCCAGUUUUAUUAUUGAAGUCUCAGUUUACAUGUUCUUUGGCAUCCCGUUACUGAAUAUUUUUCUAUUUUUAUGAACCAAGAUGAUGAUUUCCAAGUAGCUCUAGCUGUGACUUGGUGAGGUGAGGAUUUCCCUAAGCCACCCUCUACUGCAGAAAGUCCCACCUCCUGUGAUUUCCUUGAACCCCCUAGUUAUGAAUUGGGCAGCCUAAUGAAUCAGUUGUCUUUUCCUUCCUUAACUCUCUGCUAAGCUCUGCAGGCAGGAACAAUCCAGCAGGAAGAUCACUGAGCCAGGACUGAGGUGAUUUCUCAUCCCAGGUUUACCACUGACGUGUCAUGGGUCUUGAGUUCCUGUCCAAAUGGGAAAAAACAGUGCACUUGGACUUCAGAGUCAAGGGAGCUAUAUUUGAGCCAGAGUUCUACUAUGGCAGGGGUCCCCAGCUCCUGGGCCAUGGACUGGUACCAGUCCGUGGCCUGUUAGGAACCGGACCACACAGCAAGAGUUUCUUCCUCCAUGUUACUUACCGAUAUUGAAAGACCGCAUGCUGCUUUGAACAAGACGGGUGAUCAAUUGGAAUGUCU